UUGCUGGAAUUAUUACAGCUGAUUUUGCCCCAGGCACAGUUCACUGGGGAGCUGGUACCUGGGGUUCCACUGAUAUCCCUGUCACUGGCAAGAAUUGUAACAGGACACUUAGCAUCUUGUUAAUCUAACAGCUUCAUUGAGGCCAAUGGAAAUAACUCUUCAAUAGCCACAUUCCACUUACCUGCCCAUUGCAUAAACUGCCUUCUCAAACAUGAGGUGAGCAGACUUUUUUCUCAACUACCUUGUGGUUUAUGCUGAGAUCACAGCAUAUUUUGGAAAAUGGCUUACUUGACCUUUCAAGUUGAUGUUAUCCAGCCAUACCAACAGUACUUCUAUAUUUGCUUUGCCUUUGUUUAUGUGCUUAAAAUCUGUUAGAAAAAUCAGUCCGAUUGCUGUUUCCUCAUGGCAGUUAACAGUGCUGAGCCCAAACUUUGGCCUGACAGAAGCAGAAUAUGGAGUAAACAAUGGUGGGAAGCAUAGUAUUUAGCUAAGUGUAUGCAGUGGUCCACAUACACGUUCCUUUUCAUACUUACAUGUUCCCAAGACCUGAUUUUGGAACACCAAAUUCUUUUAGGAAUUAACUGUAUUUUUGGUCCUCUUUGUACUUCAGGGACUGUCAUAGCUCAGACUCCUGGUUUUUCAGAUGUCUCUGCUGCAAAAAUUCCUCCUAAUCCUGAAUUCUUUCAUUGGGGAAAGUCAGCAGUGCUUUCUGAACUCCUGGACCUUCAUCAUCAUUUUCAGACAAAAUUUAGUCUGCUGAAUUUCUAA
rnacentral:lncRNA from 1 species